CCUACGUGCGGCAGCAGUGAGGAAUAUUGGUCAAUGGGCGCGAGCCUGAACCAGCCAAGUAGCGUGAAGGAUGACUGCCCUAUGGGUUGUAAACUUCUUUUAUAAAGGAAUAAAGUGAGGCACGUGUGCCUUUUUGUAUGUACUUUAUGAAUAAGGAUCGGCUAACUCCGUGCCAGCAGCCGCGGUAAUACGGAGGAUCCGAGCGUUAUCCGGAUUUAUUGGGUUUAAAGGUGGCGUAGAUGGGUUGUUAAGUCAGUUGUGAAAGUUUGCGGCUCAACCGUAAAAUUGCAAUUGAUACUGGCAGUCUUGAGUACAGUUGAGGUAGGCGGAAUUCGUGGUGUAGCGGUGAAAUGCUUAGAUAUCACGAAGAACUCCGAUUGCGAAGGCAGCUUACUAAACUGCCACUGACAUUGAUGCUCGAAAGUGUGGGUAUCAAACAGGAUUAGAUACCCUGGUAGUC
rnacentral:rRNA from 1 species